GUCUACGGUGGGUGGCUGGAGUUUCCAUUAGGCUCCUGAACUGACCUGGGAUCCGCCCCUGGGCAGGGCCAACUCCAGCUCCUGCACACCUGGAGCCUAUUGCAGGCUAUCAAGCCAGAGGGAUUUAAACCACACAUCGAUGUUCACUCACUGCCAGUUCGUCAUCAACCCAUUUGCUGUACCCACCCUGGCUCACUCCACCUCCGGACUUGGAAUACCUAGUGAUCAUUUUGGAAAUCCCUCUGUGCCUCACCUGCCUGCCCUCCUGCCAUCACACUCCAUCUGGAGCCCCGGAUCUCAGGUCAGCCUUUCCACGCCACUCAGCCUCCCCUGGAUCUUCAUCAUCCCCCUCUCAAACACUCCAGGUCCCUAACUGCAAUGUGACUGUUCCCCACUCAGCUCCGUUCCACUUCUCAGGCCUCGUUCCCUCGCCCUAGCCACGUUCCCCUGGGCACGCCACACCAAGGCUCCACGUCUCGUCAUUUUCUGUCUUUGCCACGUUUCCCUUUUUUUGUUCCCCUUGCACUUAACCGUAAUAAACUAUUAAAUCAUCUACUGUCUCCGCUCUGGGUUUCUGCACCUGAGUCCUAUUCAGUACCGGCCAUCCGUCGCCGUGACAGUACGAACUGGCCAACAAAUGGACUCAGCAGACCCAGUACGUGCAGCAGUCUCCAAGCAGG